rnacentral:rRNA from 1 species
GACGAACGCUGGCGGCGUGCUUAACACAUGCAAGUCGAACGCGCCUGUCCUCUGGGUUUCUGGGGGGUGGGUGAGUGGCGAACGGGUGAGUAACACGUGAGUAACCUGCCCCCUUCUUCGGGAUAACGGUCUGAAAGGGCUGCUAAUACCGGGUAUUCACUGGUCUCCGCAUGGGGUCUGGUGGAAAGGUUUUUUUCUGGUGGGGGAUGGGCUCGCGGCCUAUCAGCUUGUUGGUGGGGUGAUGGCCCACCAAGGCUUUGACGGGUAGCCGGCCUGAGAGGGUGACCGGUCACAUUGGGGCUGAGAUACGGCCCAGACUCCUACGGGAGGCAGCAGUGGGGAAUAUUGCACAAUGGGCGCAAGCCUGAUGCAGCGACGCCGCGGGAGGGAUGGAGGCCUUCGGGUUGUGAACCUCUUUCGCCCGUGGUCAAGCCGCGACGUGGGUCGUGGUGAGGGUAGUGGGUAAAGAAGCGCCGGCUAACUACGUG